GAUGAAGAACGUAGCGAAAUGCGAUAAGUAAUGUGAAUUGCAGAAUUCAGUGAAUCAUCGAGUCUUUGAACGCACAUUGCGCCCCCUGGUAUUCCGGGGGGCAUGCCUGUCCGAGCGCCAUUGCUGCCCUCAAGCACGGCUUGUGUGUUGGGCCGUCGUCCCCCUCCUAGGGGACGGGCCCGAAAGGCAGCGGCGGCACCGCGUCCGGUCCUCGAGCGUAUGGGGCUUCGUCACCCGCUCCGUAGGCCCGGCCGGCGCUUGCCGACGACCAUCAAUCUCUUUCUCCAGGUUGACCUCGGAUCAGGUAGGGAUACCCGCUGAACUUAAGCAUAUCAAUAAGCGGAGGA
rnacentral:misc_RNA from 1 species